rnacentral:rRNA from 1 species
UACGAAGGGUGCAAACGUUGUUCGGAUUUACUGGGCGUAAAGCGCGUGUAGGCGGCUUUGCAAGUCGGAUGUGAAAGCCCACGGCUCAACCGUGGAAGUGCAUCCGAAACUGCAUGGCUUGAGUCUCGGAGAGGAAGGUGGAAUGCUUGGUGUAGAGGUGAAAUUCGUAGAUAUCAAGCAGAACACCUGCGGCGAAGGCGGCCUUCUGGACGAUGACUGACGCUGAGACGCGAAAGCGUGGGGAGCAAACAGG